rnacentral:rRNA from 1 species
UACGGGGGGGGGCAAGCGUUGUUCGGAAUUACUGGGCGGAAAGGGCUCGUAGGUGGCCCCAUAAGUCAGACGUGAAAUCCCUCGGCUCAACCGAGGAACUGCGUCUGAGACUGUGGGGCUUGAAUCCGGGAGAGGGAUGCGGAAUUCCAGGUGUAGCGGUGAAAUGCGUAGAUAUCUGGAGGAACACCGGUGGCGAAGGCGGCAUCCUGGACCGGUAUUGACACUGAUGAGCGAAAGCCAGGGGAGCAAACGGG